UUUUUUUUAUUAAAAACUGAAUGUGUGACACACAACUUGAAAAUCUUUUGAGAGCUUGUGAAGGUAAGUUAUGAUGGUCCAUGUUAAAUUAAAAAGUGUUAAACAAAAGUCGUAAACUAUACAAAAGAUGUACAUUAUAAACAACAUAAAUAAUAUAAAUGUUAAAGUUUUACUAACUAGCAUUUUGUGCAUAAUCGCACACAACAUCAUAAAGUAUUAUGUAUAUAGAAGGAAACACUUUUGUAACUCGCAUUUCCUUUUCCCCGGGGUCAAACCCUUUAAAAAAAAAGAGAUAAAAAAAAAUAAUAUACAAUAGUGGUUAAUAUUUUCGUAAAUAAAAUAUAUAAAUAUGGGAGAAUGAAAUUCAUUACUUUUUUCCAGCGUUGUAAUUGUCAGAUUAUUAUUCCCUUACAUAGUUACAUUUCUCUCUUGUUUUCUUAGGAAACUGAUAAUGUUGUAUCGGAGGAAAAAUAAACUCACCUUCAUGCUGUUUAAAUUGUGCAUGUCAAAACACUUUGAUAGAAAAGACUUGUAAUAUUUUCAACCCCUCAUCACCAAGGGAAUAGAUAUAAUCCAAGUCUUUUUUAUUGUUUUAUCUCUCUAACUUCUUUCUCUGCCUUUUCUCGUUUUUUGACGUCUUUUUAGCAUUCUGAUUCAUUUUCUUUUACCUAAUUAAAGGCAAGUCAUUGAUAAGAACACAUAACAUAUAACUAUCAUUGAUAGCUCUUAUGUUUCUUAACAAAAAAUAUUAAAUUUUUCCUCGAAAAAAUGAAAAUAACAAGAUGCAUAUGUGUUUUCUACGUACAUUGUACAACGCACACCAUGCUUCAUUAAUAUUGGUCAAUUUAGCUAAUUCUGUUUUACACAAAUUUAAAGUUUUAAUAUAUUGUUAAUUUUAUUUGUAUCACAUAUACAAAUAAAAUUUGUUUCAAUAAAAAUAUUUCUCAACAACAAAUUAUUGUUUACGAGUAAUUAAUAAUACUUCGUAAAUAAAUUUAGUUUUUCUCUAUUCUAUAUUGAUAAAUAUAUAUUUAUAGUUUUCAGAUGAUUGGUACAAUAUGCUUUGAAAUGGUCAAGUUCGAUGAAAACUCUUGCAUUGGUAUUAUGAAAAUUUGCGGUGGUCAUUUUCCCAAAUCCUAUAUCAAAUUGUCAGAGGAUUCUACAUCGGGUAUUCUCUAUUAAUCUCAAGAAAAACUCUUAUCUCCUGAAAAUUGAUUUUUCAGUGUAUUCACCAUCACUUUCAUGUAAGAGAUUACAAGGGCUGCUCAAACCCGUGAAGGGUGGUGGAAAUAUAUCAUAGAUGGCUUUCGCACAAUAUUUCGGUUGUAGUGAUUUGGAAACAUCCAUGUAUGUCACAAAGAGGGAGAAGGAAGAAUGUUUCAUAUUUCUCGAGACAAAGAUACAUACAACCAAAACGAGGUGAAUGAUUUGUUGUCCACAAUGGAAAGUGUCAUUACCUUAAUAAGCCCAAGACAAAGAUCAGACUUGCAAGUUUGGUUUCGAAAAUUUGAGGUUUCUUACAAACUACCAGAGGAGUUACGUCAAUUUUUAAUGAGCUUAAGAGUUAGGGAAAUGUAAGUAUAUUUGACCCACAUCUUUUUCCUAUUCUGUUUCUCCAUUAAAAAUUCAGUUUCUCUUUGAUAUUACAGUGGUUUUGCUAAUCUUA